UUAAGCGACUAAGCGUACACGGUGGAUGCCCUGGCAGUCAGAGGCGAUGAAGGACGUGCUAAUCUGCGAUAAGCGUCGGUGAGGUGAUAUGAACCGUUAUAACCGGCGAUUUCCGAAUGGGGAAACCCAGUGUGUUUCGACACACUAUCAUUAACUGAAUCCAUAGGUUAAUGAGGCGAACCGGGGGAACUGAAACAUCUAAGUACCCCGAGGAAAAGAAAUCAACCGAGAUUCCCCCAGUAGCGGCGAGCGAACGGGGAGGAGCCCAGAGCCUGAAUCAGUGUGUGUGUUAGUGGAAGCGUCUGGAAAGGCGCGCGAUACAGGGUGACAGCCCCGUACACAAAAAUGCACAUACUGUGAGCUCGAUGAGUAGGGCGGGACACGUGGUAUCCUGUCUGAAUAUGGGGGGACCAUCCUCCAAGGCUAAAUACUCCUGACUGACCGAUAGUGAACCAGUACCGUGAGGGAAAGGCGAAAAGAACCCCGGCGAGGGGAGUGAAAAAGAACCUGAAACCGUGUACGUACAAGCAGUGGGAGCCUCUUAAUGGGGUGACUGCGUACCUUUUGUAUAAUGGGUCAGCGACUUAUAUUCUGUAGCAAGGUUAACCGAAUAGGGGAGCCGAAGGGAAACCGAGUCUUAACUGGGCGUUAAGUUGCAGGGUAUAGACCCGAAACCCGGUGAUCUAGCCAUGGGCAGGUUGAAGGUUGGGUAACACUAACUGGAGGACCGAACCGACUAAUGUUGAAAAAUUAGCGGAUGACUUGUGGCUGGGGGUGAAAGGCCAAUCAAACCGGGAGAUAGCUGGUUCUCCCCGAAAGCUAUUUAGGUAGCGCCUCGUGAAUUCAUCUCCGGGGGUAGAGCACUGUUUCGGCAAGGGGGUCAUCCCGACUUACCAACCCGAUGCAAACUGCGAAUACCGGAGAAUGUUAUCACGGGAGACACACGGCGGGUGCUAACGUCCGUCGUGAAGAGGGAAACAACCCAGACCGCCAGCUAAGGUCCCAAAGUCAUGGUUAAGUGGGAAACGAUGUGGGAAGGCCCAGACAGCCAGGAUGUUGGCUUAGAAGCAGCCAUCAUUUAAAGAAAGCGUAAUAGCUCACUGGUCGAGUCGGCCUGCGCGGAAGAUGUAACGGGGCUAAACCAUGCACCGAAGCUGCGGCAGCGACACUAUGUGUUGUUGGGUAGGGGAGCGUUCUGUAAGCCUGUGAAGGUGGCCUGUGAGGGUUGCUGGAGGUAUCAGAAGUGCGAAUGCUGACAUAAGUAACGAUAAAGCGGGUGAAAAGCCCGCUCGCCGGAAGACCAAGGGUUCCUGUCCAACGUUAAUCGGGGCAGGGUGAGUCGACCCCUAAGGCGAGGCCGAAAGGCGUAGUCGAUGGGAAACAGGUUAAUAUUCCUGUACUUGGUGUUACUGCGAAGGGGGGACGGAGAAGGCUAUGUUGGCCGGGCGACGGUUGUCCCGGUUUAAGCGUGUAGGCUGGUUUUCCAGGCAAAUCCGGAAAACCAAGGCUGAGGCGUGAUGACGAGGCACUACGGUGCUGAAGCGACAAAUGCCCUGCUUCCAGGAAAAGCCUCUAAGCAUCAGGUAACAUCAAAUCGUACCCCAAACCGACACAGGUGGUCAGGUAGAGAAUACCAAGGCGCUUGAGAGAACUCGGGUGAAGGAACUAGGCAAAAUGGUGCCGUAACUUCGGGAGAAGGCACGCUGAUAUGUAGGUGAAGCGACUUGCUCGUGGAGCUGAAAUCAGUCGAAGAUACCAGCUGGCUGCAACUGUUUAUUAAAAACACAGCACUGUGCAAACACGAAAGUGGACGUAUACGGUGUGACGCCUGCCCGGUGCCGGAAGGUUAAUUGAUGGGGUUAGCGGUAACGCGAAGCUCUUGAUCGAAGCCCCGGUAAACGGCGGCCGUAACUAUAACGGUCCUAAGGUAGCGAAAUUCCUUGUCGGGUAAGUUCCGACCUGCACGAAUGGCGUAAUGAUGGCCAGGCUGUCUCCACCCGAGACUCAGUGAAAUUGAACUCGCUGUGAAGAUGCAGUGUACCCGCGGCAAGACGGAAAGACCCCGUGAACCUUUACUAUAGCUUGACACUGAACAUUGAGCCUUGAUGUGUAGGAUAGGUGGGAGGCUUUGAAGUGUGGACGCCAGUCUGCAUGGAGCCGACCUUGAAAUACCACCCUUUAAUGUUUGAUGUUCUAACGUUGGCCCGUAAUCCGGGUUGCGGACAGUGUCUGGUGGGUAGUUUGACUGGGGCGGUCUCCUCCUAAAGAGUAACGGAGGAGCACGAAGGUUGGCUAAUCCUGGUCGGACAUCAGGAGGUUAGUGCAAUGGCAUAAGCCAGCUUGACUGCGAGCGUGACGGCGCGAGCAGGUGCGAAAGCAGGUCAUAGUGAUCCGGUGGUUCUGAAUGGAAGGGCCAUCGCUCAACGGAUAAAAGGUACUCCGGGGAUAACAGGCUGAUACCGCCCAAGAGUUCAUAUCGACGGCGGUGUUUGGCACCUCGAUGUCGGCUCAUCACAUCCUGGGGCUGAAGUAGGUCCCAAGGGUAUGGCUGUUCGCCAUUUAAAGUGGUACGCGAGCUGGGUUUAGAACGUCGUGAGACAGUUCGGUCCCUAUCUGCCGUGGGCGCUGGAGAACUGAGGGGGGCUGCUCCUAGUACGAGAGGACCGGAGUGGACGCAUCACUGGUGUUCGGGUUGUCAUGCCAAUGGCACUGCCCGGUAGCUAAAUGCGGAAGAGAUAAGUGCUGAAAGCAUCUAAGCACGAAACUUGCCCCGAGAUGAGUUCUCCCUGACUCCUUGAGGGUCCUGAAGGAACGUUGAAGACGACGACGUUGAUAGGCCGGGUGUGUAAGCGCAGCGAUGCGUUGAGCUAACCGGUACUAAUGAACCGUGAGGCUUAACCUU
rnacentral:rRNA from 1 species